GAAGUCAAAGACGAACCGUAGGUCAGAUGGAAUAAUAGUAAUACUAUAAUGUUUACUUAUACUUAUUAAGUUAAACUCCAUCUCAUCAAUUAAUUAAUAUUAAAAAACGGAGGUGGGAUGUAGUUGAUGCCGGGUGCUUUAAAAAAAUUGUGAAAACAAUUUAAAAAAACAAAAAAAAGCAUUGCCUUUCAAAGAAACAGAUAAUGAAAGUUUAUGGUGCCAUAACAGAUAACGUGGGAGAGUCUACCGUGAAGAUGGAAAGUCAUUUUCAGUGAAUUGUUUAGUGUACGGAAAUCUUGUAGAUGGUGUCGAUUUUGUGUUAGGUAACUACGUUCUAAAAAAAAACUAUAGUGUGAUCAUGGACAAAGGAGUUGUGUCUCUGGCAGAGUGUGCAGAUCAAGAAGUAAAUCAACUGUAAGAGGAAGAGUACGGAAAUAUAGCAGUUAAUGUCGAUGAUGUGUUUUUAAUGACACUCUAACAAACCACAAUGUGAUCAUAGACAAUCGGUCUGUGACCUUGGCGGCGUGUACGGAUCAAUAUGUAAAUAAAGAGUCAAAGGAAGUUUGCAGAGACAAUUAUAAUGUAACUUUUAAUAGUAAACAAUGCGUAAUGGAAUGGAUUUGGAAGAAAAAGCACACCUUAUAUAAUAUGGUAGGUCAGUAUUCAAUUAAGUCAGAAUCAAACAAGAAGUUCGAGAGAGAGAGAUGGAAAUAUGCAUUGAAAAUGGAUGGUUGGAAUCAAGAACAGUACAUAAUGCUGGAGUUAUACCCAUUAUGGUCAUAUAAUAAGUAGUAAAAGGAAAAGUGAGACCAGUAGUGGAAUUCAUAGAAUUAAACGAGUUCUUAUAAUGCAUUGAAACUGGCCCAGACGUCUGCAGCGGAAAAAUUAGUUAAUGGAGAGAAUUUCUAUCUAAUGGUUCUUUAUUAGAUUGAAGAGUAAAAUCAAAAGGAACUAACUGUUUAGAAUUGGGACUACCCAACCAGAUAAUAAAAUCAGUGUUAUCAUACGUCUCUCGAUAGAUAAGGUUGUGUCAUACUCUACAGAUCAUAUACUUGAAUAUAGUGUUAGAGUUACUGAAGAAGUACGUACCAGAGACAAAGCCCCAUGAGAACAAUGUGAUCGGGCUUGAGCUAUAUAGUACCAAGUAUAACAAAUUGAAGUAGAGAAUACCCGGAAAGAUGGACGUCAAUGUGAGUGGGAGAAUGCUCAGAAGUCAAGUAUGUAUUAUCUUGCGGUUGCAAACUGGUAGAUCAUUUCCCUGUUGCCGCGUAUGAGGAUAGAUGUGAGUGCAGUUAAGUGGGUGAGAUCAACCUUGGAAUUUUGCAAGAUUUACUGGAAAGAUUCAGAAUUGUAGACCAAGUCGAUCGGAUAUUGAAUAUUGAGAGUGGUAGGAUGCUUGAAGUAUGGUGUGAUUCCAGCUCAAUAGCCCAUGGCACAGUACUGGUUGACGACUUGAGGCAAAGAAAUCAUGAAGCGGAUCGAGCCAAGAUUCAAAAGACCGAUGAAUCUUCCUCUUCACAAGUCCGGAAAUAUAUGAUUUUAUAUCAUAACAACAGAGAACGAAUGACAUUAUUGUGGUUUGAUAAUGUAAUGAAACUAAAAGCCAGGUAGUAAGGAAACCCCAUAACGUGUUGACCCUUAUUCGUAACGAAAAAACAGCUAACUACAUACUUGAACCAUCAAAAAUUAUUAUAAUGGGGGUUUUUAACAUCGUAGUGUUGGAGAAAAUUUUGAGAAAUUCAGCCAAAGUUAAUCAAGACCAUGAUAUCUUGAGGAUCGACGAUCGAUAAGAGUGAAAAAAUUAAUAUAUAGUUAGUGUAUAUCUGUAUGGGACUUUGUUCAAAUUGAACGUUGUUGUUAGUAAAUCUGUUAUUAAUUAAAGAUAGCAGCCAAAACCAAGAGCAGCUAUUUGGAAAUGAAAGGUAUUCUCAAUAGAGCUACUAUAGAGGUAAUUUGUUCCACUUGUAUUUGUUCAUUCCAUAUUUUAUAAUUUCUAAGUACUACAAUGGUAUAAGAUUACUAUGAUUUCCUCCCUCCUCUCAUUAAUAUACCGGAAAGCAAUCCAAAAUUGAUAAGUUCUUUUUUAGUGCUGCAGAAGAAUGGAUCAAGCUACAAAAACUACCCAAACAAUAGUUAUGAUUAGCUACUCGUAUAUUAAUACUCGACACUAUAAAGUAGCAAACUUGGAGCUCAAAUUGAAAACAUCACAAAUAUCCCUAAUAUAUUAGCCAUAUCUCAAUAAUGACACAACGAACAGUCUCACCCUUAGAGAAUUUACAAUCUAUGUCUCACCCGGGUCAAAUCCAUUUGCAAGCAUGAUCAGUUCUAUAUUUUUCAGACCGAAACAUCUAUACAAUACAUGAAAAUAAAUGGGCUAGUAAUGUAUAUCUCUGUUGCUUACCUUGACCAAUUCUUACCUAUUGCGAAUAUAGCAUUUUUACGUCUCAUUAAGCAUUGUGAACAAGAAAAAAUAUGUUAGCUAUGGACUCAAAUGUCCACAAUCAACUUUGGAGUAAUAGAGAAACUGUCACAAAAGGAGAGUCUCUGGAAAACACCAUUGAAGAAAACUAUCUGAUAGCAAAAAUUAAGGGAACAAGCCUACUUUCAUCACCCAACGAACCUAUUUAACCAUCAAUAUUAGAAUCCUGAAUAAACAUGCCUUCAAUAAAUUCGAGAUAACCGGGUCAAUUCAAUCCUUGGGAGCCCACAAGUAGGAGUUCUUCGUAUAGAAUAUGAUUAUGUAUACGUUAUUUAAUAAAUUUAAAAAAUGAGCAAUCAAGAUCGUUGGCUGCACAGAUGGCAUCCUCCUUUUAAUUAGUGGAAAAAAUCCCCACACCCUGAUCAAUGCAAUACAAAGGGCAAUCAAUACUGUUAUAGAAUGAGAAUGAAAUGGUCUAAAAUUAGCGCUAUGGUCUUUUCAAUAGCUAAUAAACUUAGAUGACAAAACUAAAACUUUUGAAGAAGGACCAAGCAUUUUUUGGAGAAAAAUAAAAGAUGGACUUCUCAUCGAGACAAAAAUUUUCAUUCAAAUUCGUUCGUAUGUUAUUUGAAUUUUAUCACGUUUUUUUUAAAAUUCAAAACAAUAAAUUUAAUAUAAUUAUAUGUAUAAUAUACAAGUGCUCUAUGACAAUGCUCGCCCGAAUUGAAGAGGUCUAAGCAUUAAAAAAAAUGAUAACAUUGAGUCAAUGAUUGACCAUUGUGAAUGUGAUUUCCCGUUCCCUGAUAGGCCUGAAAAGUGCCGGGUAACCCAUUGCUAGUACCCCAUUAAAAUCAUUUUACAAAUGAUUUGUUUCAAUAAUAAAAUUGGUAUAUGGAACAAUUUAACCCUAACUUUUCAAAACUUUCUAUAGAUUUAGCAAAAUUACGAAUUCAAAAACUCACUUCUACUUGAAAUAUAGAAAAAUAUCCAAUAUUAGAUUUACUGCUUAAUAGCUAGGUGGUCAUAUCUCGUUUUUGGAAAAAAAAAUAUGAUUGAUGAAAAUUUGGCUUUACCCAAGGAUUUGCAAAAUUAUAUGUCUUAUUUUUAAAGGAAACCUAUGCUGUAGGUUAUCCGAGUAAUAAAAUUUUAAUGAUGAAUCUUACUAUGUGUAUAUUAAAAAGCAAAAUAUUGAAUAAAGGAAAUUUUAAAUCAA
rnacentral:lncRNA from 1 species